AUGGCGGCCCUUCCCGUCCUGUGGGGCUGGGUGCUCGUGGCGGCCCUGAGGACAGGUGCCGCCUCGAGCCUGGUGGAGCAGAGGCCCAGGUGGGCCCUGGUACGUCGUGGGCAGGCCAAAAUGCUGCGCUGCUUCCUGCAGGACACCCAGUACCCAUAUAUGAGCUGGUACCAACAGGAUCUCCAGGGCCAACUCCAGCUGUUGGCCAGUCUGCGGUUUUCUGGGGACAAGGAGGCCGUGUCCCUUCCUGGGGCAGAUUACCAGGCCACACGGGUCAAUGCCGAGGAGCUGGGGCUGCACGUGGCCAAUGUGACCCAGGGCAGAACCCUGUACUGCAGCUGCAGCAAAGACACAGUGAGAAACCCCUGUUAG